rnacentral:lncRNA from 1 species
UCUCCACUCUUGUCUCUGAAGGACUCCAGGGCAGAGUCUGUCGAGCUCAUCUCCAAACAAAUUAGAGAAGAUGAGAUGUGGUGAUGGAUGAGAAGGUGGCUAAGAGAGACUCCAGCCAACACAGCUAACUCCCAGAGAAUAAGGUACGCAGGCUCAGUCCGAUUCCCAACGACAGAAGAACGGACGACGCUCCUCCCAACGUACUGGGACAGGAAGCUCCCAGCACCUCAGAGCAGCGGCUUUUCCCUCAGAGGUAUACCUGCAGUGCUAGAGAAGCAGCCUGCGGGCGGGCCUCCCAGCCCUAGUACAGCGGAGCGCUCUGAGCAGGCGCAGGCACAGUAGCAGCCUGGACGCCAUCCCCCGCCCCCCACUCACACACACUCCUCCACCCCUCCCCAC